UACGAGAGGACCGGAGUGGACGUACCACUGGUGCUCCAGUUGUUUCGCCAGAAGCAUAGCUGGGUAGCUAAGUACGGAAAGGAUAACCGCUGAAAGCAUCUAAGCGGGAAGCCUCCUCAAAGAUGAGUAUUCCCUUGAAAUUCCUUGUAGACUACGAGGUUGAUAGGCAACAGAUCGGAAGAGCA
rnacentral:rRNA from 1 species